rnacentral:lncRNA from 1 species
UAAGCAGCAUUUUUAUCUCAUCAUUGGGUAUUUGACAUUCCUUGAUUACUUCCACAGAUUCAUUUUACAUGAGAUGCAGAAAACCCCAUCUGCAAAGCCAGAAGCAGAGUGACUUCUUCAAUGUAAUUUUCAUUGUCAUUGAAAGUGACAGAUUUUUGACAAAACUCAGCAUUCGCUCUGAACUAUUAUAGCAGUUCAUUUUCCAACAGCAAGUAAUUCCAACUCGACACAGUGCUUGAUGUAGACAUCCAGUUCAUGUGCUAAAUCUCGUAAACCCCUAACUGUUCAAUUUACUUCAUAUGGGGAAAACUGGGUCAACCUGGAACAAUUUCGUACAGAAAAGAAACAGAGCUGCUACAACACUUUGAACUCCAGGCUCUGAAGGAUCCUCUUCAUUCCCAUGUCAAAGCUCAGGGAAUGAUUGCAAUGGGAGCCUUAUUAGAACUUCAUAAAGGUUUGCCUACCUUGAGAUGAAGUAGAUCUGCCAAGCCCACUCCCUGCUUGCAUAAGAUGCAAUUUGAGAUGAGAAGUCACAGGAAGAUCCCAAAUGUGUCCAAUCCGUAUGUAUAUGAACACCUAUACAUAGAAGAUGGACCGAAGAACGAAGAAGCCCGUUUCCUGCAGGGCACUGUAUCUGGUCCAACAGAGUCAUCAUAAAAUUCUAACCUGAAUGUUGUAUGUACAGGAUAUUAGCUCUGUGGCCUUCUAUUUGGUCUCCUUUUUUUUUUUUUUUUUUUUUUUUUUUUUAACACCUUUAUGUUCUUUAAAUAGCCAGGCCAUAGUUUGGAAUGUUCAUAAGGCAUGUAAAUAAUAGGUUUCCCCCACACACACACACAAUUGAGGAUGGAAUUUGCAUGUCUUUAAGAUUAUUUAAAGGGUUUCACUAGGUUACUGGGACAUUCAAAUUAAAAAAAAAAAAAAACUUCUGGCACCGUGACAUGUCCUGAUCCUCUGGAGUUACAUUCCAGGGGUCUGAAAUUUUACCUUCCUAUUCUCUGCGCUCUGUGAAACCAAGAGUGCUUGCUUCUGCUUCACAGCAGCAGAGACAAUGAUUAAUAAUCUGUGAUUAACAUUCCACUGGUCUGAGAGUAAGGGGGACAGAGUUGAAUCCCAUUUCUGCCUGCAGCUAAUUUUGCAGCUUUAAGAUCCUCAUUUAAAUUUUAUUGGCUCCAGUUUUAAAAAAUUACAAACCAGUGUAGUUUGACUAGAUGACCUUGAUGCCUCCAAAGCAUGAUGCUAUUCUUUUAACUUAUUGAGAAUUGCCUCUUCCUUGAGUGAAUUGACUCCAAAUACCUAGAUUUUUUUCUAUAAGUUAUAUACCUGCUGCCUAUCUGGAGUUGGGUGAAUUUGUUUUG